UGGCGGCAGGCCUAACACAUGCAAGUCGAGCGGAAACGAGUUAUCUGAACCUUCGGGGAACGAUAACGGCGUCGAGCGGCGGACGGGUGAGUAAUGCCUAGGAAAUUGCCUUGAUGUGGGGGAUAACCAUUGGAAACGAUGGCUAAUACCGCAUAAUGCCUACGGGCCAAAGAGGGGGACCUUCGGGCCUCUCGCGUCAAGAUAUGCCUAGGUGGGAUUAGCUAGUUGGUGAGGUAAUGGCUCACCAAGGCGACGAUCCCUAGCUGGUCUGAGAGGAUGAUCAGCCACACUGGAACUGAGACACGGUCCAGACUCCUACGGGAGGCAGCAGUGGGGAAUAUUGCACAAUGGGCGAAAGCCUGAUGCAGCCAUGCCGCGUGUAUGAAGAAGGCCUUCGGGUUGUAAAGUACUUUCAGUUGUGAGGAAGGGGGUGUCGUUAAUAGCGGCAUCUCUUGACGUUAGCAACAGAAGCAGCACCGGUUAA
rnacentral:rRNA from 1 species